CGGAGAGGGAGCAUGAGAAACGGCUACUCACAUCCCAGGAAGGCAGCAGGCGCGCAAAUUACCCCCUCCCGACACGGGGAGGUAGUGACAAUAUGUAACAAUAUACGGCUUUAUUGUCGUAUAAUUGGAAUGAGUACAAUUUAUAAUCCCUUAACGAGGAACAAUUGGAGGGCAAGUCUGGUGCCAGCAGCCGCGGUAAUUCCAGCUCCAAUAGCGUAUAUUAAAGUUGUUGCAGCUAAAAAGCUCGUAGUUGGACCUUGGGCCUGCUACAGGCGGUCCGCCUCACGGCGUGUACUGUCUUGCUGGUCCUUUCCUCUUGGUGAUCUGCGGUUUCGGCCGCAGGGAACCAGCACCUUUACUUUGAAAAAAUUAUAGUGUUCAUAGCAGGCUUUACUCCAGAAUAUAUUAGCAUGGAAUAAUAAAAUAGGACGUGCGGUUCUGUUUUGUUGGUUUUUGGGAUCGCCGUAAUGAUUAAUAGGGACAGUCGGGGGCAUUAUUACUCUCAUGCUAGAGGUGAAAUUCUUGGAUUUUGUGAAGACUAACUUCUGCGAAAGCAUUUGCCAAGGAUGUGUUCAUUAAUCACGAACGAAGGUUAGGGUAUCGAAAACGAUUAGAUACCGUUGUAUUCUUAACAGUAAACUAUGCCG
rnacentral:rRNA from 1 species